rnacentral:rRNA from 1 species
UCUACGGGUGGCUGCAGUGGGGGAUAUUGCACAAUGGGGGGAACCCUGAUGCAGCGACGCCGCGUGGGUGAAGAAGCGCCUCGGCGCGUAAAGCCCUGUCAGCAGGGAAGAAAAUGACGGUACCUGAAGAAGAAGCCCCGGCUAACUACGUGCCAGCAGCCGCGGUCAUACGUGGGGGGCAAGCGUUAUCCGGAUUUACUGGGUGGAAAGGGGGCGCAGACGGCGAUGCAAGCCAGGAGUGAAAGCCCGGGGCCCACCCCCGGGACUGCUCUUGGAACUGGGUGGCUGGAGUGCAGGGGGGGCAGGCGGAAUUGCUGGGGUAGCGGUGGAAUGCGUAGAUAUCAGGAGGAACACCGGUGGCGAAGG